GUGCUAAACAAGAGUAUAAAGACCAUUAUCCACAUGGAGCACUGGUUGUGUUAUUCAACCUACCCCACCCUUACGGAAAUGUUAACAAAAAUCUUCUACGGCAAUACUUUUUUCACCACUAUGUGGCACUGUGAAGCUGAAUAGCUAAAGUUUAUUUGACAAAAAAUUCAGGGUGUGCUUCGGCUUAUUUUGUUUUAAAAUAAGUUCCAAAGUUUGGGUAGGACACCUUACCCCUAACUUACGGAAAUGUUAAUGAAAAUUGUUUUACGGCAAUACUUUUUUCGCCACUAGGUGCAAUGGGAAGCGGAAUAGUUAAGAUUUACUUUACAAUAAUUCAAGGGUGUGCUUCGGCUUAGUUUUUUUUUUAAAUUAAGUCCAAAGUUGGGGUCAGACACCCUACCCCACCCUUACGGAAAUGUUAAUUAAAAAUGUUCUACGGCAAAACUCUUUUCGAAACUAGGUGCAAUGGGAAGCUGAAUAGCUAAAGUGUACUUGACAAUAAAUUCAGGGUGUGCGUCGCCUUAGUUUUUUUUUUAAUAAGGUCCAAAUUUGGGUUCGGACACCCUACCCAUCCCUUACGGAAAUGUUACAAAAAAAAUGUUUUAUGGCAAUACUUUUUUCGCCAGCAGGUGCAAUGGGAAGCUGAAUCGCUAAAGUUUACAUGACAAAAAAUCCAGGGUGUGCAUCGGCUUAAUUUUUGUUUAUACUUUAGGUCCAAAGUUCGUGUCGGACACCUCUCCCCACCAUUACGGAAAAAUCAAUAAAAAAUAUUGAACGGCAAUACUUUUUUCGCCACUUGGUGCAAUGGGAAGCUGGAUAGCUAGGUUUACGUGACAAUAAAUCAAGGGUGUGCUUCGGCUUAGUUUAUUUUUUUAAUAAAGUCCAAAGUUGGGGUUUGGACACCCUAACCCACCCUUACGGAAAUGUAAAUAAAAAAGUUCUACGGCAAUACUUUUUUUUUGCCAGUAGGUGCAAUGGGAACCUGAAUAGCUACAGUUUACUUGACAAUAAAUUCGGGUGUGCUUCGGCUUUUUUUCUUUUUAAAUUAGUCCAAAGUUGGGGUCGGACACCCUACCUCACCCUUACAAUACUUUUUUCGCUACUAGGUGCAAUGGUAAGCUGAAUAGCUAAGGUUUACUUGACAAUAAAUUCAGGGUGUGCUUCGGCUUAGUUUUUUUUUAUUAAGGUCCAAAGUUGGGGUUGGACACCCUACCCUUCCCUUACGGAAUGUUAAUAAAAAAUGUUCUAUGGCAAUACUUUUUUCGCCAGUAGGUGUAAUGGGAAGCUGAAUAGCUAAGGUUUACUUGUCAUUUAUUCAAGGGGUGGGCUUCGGCUUAUUUUUUUUUAAAUCAGGUCCAAAGUUGGGGUCGGACACCCUACCCCACCCUUACAGAAAUGUCAAUAAAAAAUGUUCUACGGCAAUAAUUCUUUCGCCACUAAGUGAUAUGGAUAGCUGAAUAGCUAAAGUUUACUUGACAAAAAAUCCAGGGUGUGCUUUGGCUUCUUUUUUUAUAAAUUGGGUCCAAAGUUGGGGUCGGACACCUCUCCCCACCAUUACGGAAAUGUCAAUAAAAAAUAUUUUACGGAAAUACUUUUUUCGCCAUUUGGUGCAAUGGGAAGCUGGAUAGCUAAGGUUUACUUGACAAUAAAUCAAGGGUGUGAUUCGGCUUAGAUUUUUCUUUAAUUAGGUCCAAAGUUGGGGUCGGACACCUUACCCUACCCUUACGGAAAUGUAAAUAAAAAAUGUUUUACGGCAAUACUUUUUUCGCCACUAGGUGCAAUUGGAAGUUGAAUAGCUAAAGUUUACUAGACAAAAACUCCAGGGUGUGCUUCGGCUUAUUUUCUUUUUAAACUAAGUCCAAAGUUGGGGUCGGACACCCUACUCCACCCUUCCGGAAAUGUUAAUGAAAGAUGUUCUAGGGCAAUACUUUUUUCGUCACAUGGUGCAAUGGGAAGCUGAAUAGCUAAGGUUUACUUGACACUAAAUCCAAGGUGUGCUUGGCUUAUUUUUAUGAGAUAAAGCCUUUUUUUUCGAAAGGAUUGUUAAUAUAUGUGUUUGUCUUUUGUUUGCUUCUUGGUUUUUUUUGUAGUGGCAUUGUCGGUUCCUUUUAGACUUAUGAGUUUGAAUUUUCAUUUUGUAUCUUAUUCCUCUCUGUUUCGUUUCUGAUAAAUUGAUUUUUUUUUUAUUGUUUUAUCUUUCAAGUUUGUAAACCGCCGUGCAUCGUUUAAAUGACUUACCUCAAAUUUGGAACCUAUAAUCAUGUUGUCGACGAUAUAAGUAUCUGUAGAUAUUAACUGUUUAAUUU
rnacentral:lncRNA from 1 species